rnacentral:lncRNA from 1 species
AUGUGGGCCUGGAGGGGCGGCCCAGGGGGGCCUUCCCAGAGCCGCAGCCCUCCAGGACAGGCCUGUUCUGCCCUCCAGGGAGAGAGAGAACCGAGAGACCCCCGUGAACUCCCAAGGCGACCCGGCGAGUGGGGAAGCCAGAGCCCAGCAGGUCCUAAUAUCUACCUGGGAAAAGAGAAGACAUGUGGACGUACCCACACGGAUCCUGGCACACCACCGUUGGCGCUGGCAUUAUUACUACUGCCCACGAUGAAGGCGGGUUUGGACCACCAGACAGCAUUGCUGAUGGGUCCCUGUGUCCUCUGCGGAAUCACAGAUACUCUGAUGGUCUCAUAAGAAACAAGCUGAAAAAUGGGCCUUCCUUGAGGAAGCCGGCAGCAUAGAAUAAAAUGAAACCGCUGAUGCUUUAGACUUUACUUUCACCACCUCCUGGGGGGCGGGGGGAAGGACUGGAGGCCCCUGUGUGUGGGACAGCAGGAGUGACAUCAGGGAGAGUGAGAGACACAGGUGAUAAGUGGGCACGAUGGCAGCAACACGGCCAGCUCAGGAAUGCCUGAACUUCCCUGCCUCCAUCUGGGGAUGCCUCCCCUGUUGAAAGCACCCAUCCAUUCUUGUAUCUAUUUGCAACACGGUUCUGUUUGGCGUGCUAAGUUCUGGAUGGGUUUCUGAAGAGCCACUGCCACUGCACUUCUAAGGUAGUCUUCAUAUGAUUGUUCUCUUUUUCCCACCUUGCCUUGCAGUGGCUUUGCUCUAUUCAGAGCACCUCUUGCUCGGAAAUCCCAUAGUAAAACAGAUAUGGGGUCUGUUGCAGUUGAAAUUGGGGUCAGCUUAUGGAGCCUGUCCAUUCAGCGCCCCCCUGGCCCUGUCCUGUCCUCCCAUCCUAGGUAGGCUUGCGGGGGUUCUGGAGCACCCCUUUAGUUUAGGGACUGAAGAUUCAAGACCUCACGUGGCUAUUGCCAAUGUGCAACCCUGUUUUACCAGAGGAUGAAAUAAUAACCAUUUGCACCAACAUGCUCAAAACCCAGGA